GACGAACGCUGGCGGCGUGCCUAAUACAUGCAAGUCGAGCGAAGUUUUUCUGGUGCUUGCACUAGAAAAACUUAGCGGCGAACGGGUGAGUAACACGUAAAGAACCUGCCUCAUAGACUGGGACAACUAUUGGAAACGAUAGCUAAUACCGGAUAACAGUAUUUCUCGCAUGAGAGAUAUUUAAAAGUUGGUUAUGCUAACACUAUGAGAUGGCUUUGCGGUGCAUUAGCUAGUUGGUGGGGUAAAGGCCCACCAAGGCGACGAUGCAUAGCCGACCUGAGAGGGUGAUCGGCCACACUGGGACUGAGACACGGCCCAGACUCCUACGGGAGGCAGCAGUAGGGAAUCUUCCGCAAUGGGCGAAAGCCUGACGGAGCAACGCCGCGUGAGUGAAGAAGGAUUUCGGUUCGUAAAGCUCUGUUGUUAGGGAAGAAUGGAUAUGUAGUAACUAUACAUGUAAGAGACGGACCUAACCAGAAGCCACGCAAUACC
rnacentral:rRNA from 1 species